GGAGCCGAUGAAGGACGGGACUAACACCGAUAUGCUUUGGGGAGCUGUACGUAAGCUAUGAUCCAGAGAUUUCCGAAUGGGGGAACCCAACAUCUUUAAUAGGAUGUUACGAUUGUGUGAAUACAUAGCACAUUCGAGGUAGACGCAGAGAACUGAAACAUCUAAGUACCUGCAGGAAGAGAAAGAAAAUUCGAUUCCCUGAGUAGCGGCGAGCGAAACGGGAAAAGCCCAAACCAGCAAGCUUGCUUGUUGGGGUUGUAGGACUCCAAUAUGGUAGUUCUUUCAGAUAGUCGAAUGACUUGGAAAAGUCAGUCAAAGAGGGUAAAAACCCCGUAGACGAAAUGUGGAAGACACCUAGGAGGAUCCUGAGUACGGCGGAACACGAGAAAUUCCGUCGGAAUCCGGGAGGACCAUCUCCCAAGGCUAAAUACUCCCUAGUGACCGAUAGUGAACCAGUACCGUGAGGGAAAGGUGAAAAGCACCCCGGAAGGGGAGUGAAAUAGAACCUGAAACCGUGUGCCUACAACAAGUCAAAGCCCGUUAAUGGGUGAUGGCGUGCCUUUUGUAGAAUGAACCGGCGAGUUACGAUUGCAUGCGAGGUUAAGUUGAAGAGACGGAGCCGCAGCGAAAGCGAGUCUGAAUAGGGCGUUUGAGUAUGUAGUCGUAGACCCGAAACCAUGUGAUCUA
rnacentral:rRNA from 1 species